UGACAAACUCAGUUGUGAUGAGAACCCCUAACAACCACUAGAGGAAAUCAUGGCUCCUUGGGAACAAUAAGACACAAAGAAAGUGGAUCAAGAAAAUGGAGGAACCACGGGAAUUUUUUUGUGGAAUCCUUAUUCUGUGCAAGGCUAUGAUCUGAUUGCCUUCUCUUCUGAAAGGAAGUGCCUUCUGGUCACCAAUAUGUCACUUGCCUGGUAUCUCUAUUUUGAGUAUUUCUCUCUGUGUGAACUGCUGCUUAGCUGGCCAGGACUCAAAUGGUUUCUUACAUAACCCAGGAUAUUUUCUUAGAUUCUCUUCUAUGAGUCAGUGAAUCAUAAUAUUCAGGGCAUAUCAGAGAUAAAAGAAGUCCAGAACAUCAACCACCUCUCAACCUCUGACCACUGACCCCACCAUUAUAUAGAUGUAGUCAUUGAGACCUAAAGGGGUAAUGUAAAUAUAUACGCUUUCAUAGAAAAUCGGUGCAGAAGCAGGAACAAACAAACACAGGAUGUAUGCUAACUGUGGACCAAAAACAAAAUGAAAACUCCAAAACUGAUUUUACUUAUCUUUUCCCUAAAUGCAAAUAAAGCUCACAAUAUCAGUUGAGUCAUCUAUAAAACAUGAUUUAGGGAAAACUGGACGAGUGACAACAGAGGCUCUCUCCAUCUCUUCCCAAGGCGGUACUCUCCCCUCUUUUGUUGAGUAAUGUAGGGUAGAGAAAAAAAUAAAACAGACCUACAUAAUUCCUCCAGAAAAGGGGACGGCACCUGAAAGCAAGAAGUAUGUCUCCUUCCUCUUCUUCAUCCUCUGCAGAGUUGUUCAAGAAGUCAGCUCUCAGGCACCAGCUAAAACUCUGGAGCCAGCACAACUCCAAUUUUGGAAACUACCAUUAUGGAAAGAAGAAAGUGAGCACAGCCGUGAGAGGUCUAUGGCUCCGAAUAUGGAACUCUUCAUCCUCUCAAACCUUUCUCCAGCUUCCAUAGAAGACUUCAUCUUCUUAUCUCUAUUAUCAUUUUCCUGCUCAGUGAAAGUUGCUCUUCUACCUCCACCCCCAGGCCUGGGGUGUGUGUGUGUGUGUGUGUGCUCCUUUGCAACUCAGCUCUAGGUGUCCAAGCAAAAGCUUGAGUUUUGCCGUCUCUUCCUUCAGCUUGGGAUUCCUGUGGAAGGAAUUGCUGACAGUGAACACUGCCCACCACUAGAGAGCAGUCAAAGCCAACAUUUUCCUGGGCAAAAACUUCUAAGAAGUUGUUUUCAAAGGAGCCAGGUUCUCUUGGUCCUCUCUUUCCCUCUCUCAUCUUUCUCAGGGCGGAGCACCCUGUCGGUCUCCUUCACAAAGGCAUAUUCUACAUGUCUAUUUAGACAUUAUGGGCGCAAUGAACACUGUGUUAAUUCUGCCAGAGAAGCCAUUGUCAAAAACGUUUGUUCUUGAAAUCUUCAUGUUUUUACCCCAUCAGCACAAACACAGCAUCAAGCUGACCUAGGUGAAUCAUAAAAUGUUGAAAAUAAAGGCAAUCUUGCAGUUAAAAAAAGAGUUAUCUUCAUAAAUCCAUAAAGGAAACAAAAUCAGACCUUGGUUGAUUCUUCCCUAACCCUCUUUAGUGAGACUAACAGCAGACAAACCUAAGCAGGGUCCUAUGCACAUCUUCAGAUAUGCUUUAUUCCUUCAGACAACAUGCUUUUUCCAACCUUAAUGAAGAGAACAAUUGUGCCUCAUAUAGGCUGUCUUUCAAAUUUCAGUAGGUCCAUGUCUACAUUAUUUAACUUACUUUAAUGAACAGUAAAAGAAAAUAAUUAUUGCAGAUUGGCCUGUUAGUGUGCAGGAAGAAUCCUCUAGUCUACUAGACUGGAAGGUGAAGAAAGGGAAAAAGAACUUCUGGAAGGAAAGGUAGCUGGAUUCACAUUCACUCUGGAUUCAACCUUAGAUUUACAUUUGAAUCAUGUCUUUGCCACUUGCUUAAGUGUAACCUCAGGCAAGUUACUUAAGUUCUCUCUAAAUCUUAGUUUCUUCCUCUGUAAAUUGGAGGUCAUAAGUGUUUUCAUCAAAUAGCAUAGUUUUAAGAAUUAAAAGAAC
rnacentral:lncRNA from 10 species